GAUGAACGCUGGCGGCGUGCCUAAUACAUGCAAGUCGAGCGAACGGACGAGAAGCUUGCUUCUCUGAUGUUAGCGGCGGACGGGUGAGUAACACGUGGAUAACCUACCUAUAAGACUGGGAUAACUUCGGGAAACCGUAGCUAAUACCGGAUAAUAUUUUGAACCGCAUGGUUCAAAAGUGAAAGACGGUCUUGCUGUCACUUAUAGAUGGAUCCGCGCUGCAUUAGCUAGUUGGUAAGGUAACGGCUUACCAAGGCAACGAUGCAUAGCCGACCUGAGAGGGUGAUCGGCCACACUGGAACUGAGGCACGGUCCAGACUCCUACGGGAGGCAGCAGUAGGGAAUCUUCCGCAAUGGGCGAAAGCCUGACGGAGCAACGCCGCGUGAGUGAUGAAGGUCUUCGGAUCGUAAAACUCUGUUAUUAGGGGAGAACAUAUGUGUAAGUAACUGUGCACAUCUUGACGGUACCUAAUCAGAAAGCCACGGCUAACUACGUG
rnacentral:rRNA from 1 species